GCGGGCGUGGUGGAAUUGGUAGACACGCCAGCCUUAGGAGCUGGUGGCGCAAGCCGUGGGGGUUCGAGUCCCUCCGCCCGCA
rnacentral:tRNA from 1 species